rnacentral:rRNA from 1 species
UACGAAGGGGGCUAGCGUUGCUCGGAAUCACUGGGCGUAAAGCGCACGUAGGCGGCUUUCUAAGUCAGGGGGUGAAAUCCCGAGGCUCAACCUCGGAACUGCCUUUGAUACUAUUGGUCUUGAAUGUUGUUGAGGUGGGCGGAACGGGUCAUGUAGCGGUGAAAUGCAUAGAUAUGACCCGGAACACCGAUUGCGAAGGCAGCCCGCUAAGCAACUAUUGACGCUGAGGCACGAAAGCGUGGGGAUCAAACAGG